rnacentral:tRNA from 1 species
GCCGGGGUAGCUCAGUUGGUAGAGCAGCGGUCUUGUAAACCGCAGGUCGUCGGUUCGAUCCCGACCUCCGGCUCCA